GACGAACGCUGGCGGCGUGCUUAACACAUGCCAGUCGAACGGAAAGGCCCUGCUUUUGUGGGGUGCUCGAGUGGCGAACGGGUGAGUAACACGUGAGUAACCUGCCCUUGACUUUGGGAUAACUUCAGGAAACUGGGGCUAAUACCGGAUAGGAGCUCCUGCUGCAUGGUGGGGGUUGGAAAGUUUCGGCGGUUGGGGAUGGACUCGCGGCUUAUCAGCUUGUUGGUGGGGUAGUGGCUUACCAAGGCUUUGACGGGUAGCCGGCCUGAGAGGGUGACCGGCCACAUUGGGACUGAGAUACGGCACAGACUCCUACGGGAGGCAGCAGUGGGGAAUAUUGCACAAUGGGCGGAAGCCUGAUGCAGCAACGCCGCGUGCGGGAUGACGGCCUUCGGGUUGUAAACCGCUUUCGCCUGUGACGAAGCGUGAGUGACGGUAAUGGGUAAAGAAGCACCGGCUAACUACGUG
rnacentral:rRNA from 1 species